UUCUAGCUUGCUAGAAAGUUGAGAGCGGCGAACGGGUGAGUAACACGUUGGAAUCUGCCCCCAAGUCAGGGAUAGCCAUUGGAAACGAUGAUUAAUACCGGAUGUGCUCUUGCGAGUAAAGAUUUAUCGCUUGGGGAGGAUCCUGCGCACUAUCAGCUUGUUGGUGAGGUAAUAGCUCACCAAGGCUAUGACGGUUAAUUGGUCUGAGAGGAUGACCAGUCACAAUGAAACUGAGACAAGGUUCAUACUCC
rnacentral:rRNA from 1 species